AACGAACGCUGGCGGCAUGCCUAACACAUGCAAGUCGAACGAGACCUUCGGGUCUAGUGGCGCACGGGUGCGUAACGCGUGGGAACCUGCCCUUAGGUUCGGAAUAACUCCCCGAAAGGGGUGCUAAUACCGGAUAAUGUCUUCGGACCAAAGAUUUAUCGCCUUUGGAUGGGCCCGCGUUGGAUUAGCUAGUUGGUAGGGUAAAAGCCUACCAAGGCGACGAUCCAUAGCUGGUCUGAGAGGAUGAUCAGCCACACUGGGACUGAGACACGGCCCAGACUCCUACGGGAGGCAGCAGUGGGGAAUAUUGGACAAUGGGCGAAAGGCUGAUCCAGCAAUGCCGCGUGAGUGAUGAAGGCCUUAGGGUUGUAAAGCUCUUUUACCCGGGAUGAUAAUGACAGUACCGGGAGAAUAAGCUCCGGCUAACCCCGUG
rnacentral:rRNA from 1 species